UACGUAGGGGACGAGCGUUGUCCGGAAUUACUGGGCGUAAAGGGCGCGCAGGCUGUAGAUCAAGUCAGCUGUGAAAUGUCUGGGCUUAACCCGGGCAUGCGGUUGAAACUGAUGUACUGGAGUGCUGUAGAGGCAAGUGGAAUUCCCAGUGUAGCGGUGAAAUGCGUAGAUAUUGGGAAGAACACCGGUGGCGAAGGCGACUUGCUGGGCAGCAACUGACGCUGAGGCGCGAAAGCCAGUGGAGCAAACGGGAUUA
rnacentral:rRNA from 1 species